AUUGAACGCUGGCGGCAUGCCUUACACAUGCAAGUCGAACGGUAACAGGUUAAGCUGACGAGUGGCGAACGGGUGAGUAAUAUAUCGGAACGUGCCCAGUCGUGGGGGAUAACUGCUCGAAAGAGCAGCUAAUACCGCAUACGACCUGAGGGUGAAAGCGGGGGAUCGCAAGACCUCGCGCGAUUGGAGCGGCCGGUAUCAGAUUAGGUAGUUGGUGGGGUAAAAGCCCACCAAGCCAACGAUCUGGAGCUGGUAUGAGCGGACGACCAGCCAAACUGUGACUUGGACGCGGACCAGACUCCUACGGGAGGCAGCAGUGGGGAAUUUUGGACAAUGGACGCAAGUCUGAUCCAGCCAUGCCGCGUGCGGGAAGAAGGCCGUCGGGUUGUAAACCGCUUUUGUCAGGGAAGAAAAGGUUCUGGCUAAUACCUGGGACUCAUGCCGGUACCUGAAGAAUAAGCACCGGCUAACUACGUGCCAGCCGCCGCAGUAACAC
rnacentral:rRNA from 1 species